ensembl:snoRNA
CUUCCCAUUUAUUUGCUGCUAUUGUCUUUCAGUGAUAUGAGCAGUUAUACGCAUGGGAUAAAAUAAUGGUGCACCAUUGUAAAUUGAGAUGAGCCGAUUACCCGUUUCAUCUCUUCGUCAUGGUCUACACAUUG